GCUGGGCGUGGUGGCUGGUACCUGUAGUCCCAGUUACUCGGGAGGCUGAAGUGGGAGGAUUGCUUGAGACCAGGAGUUCUGGCCUGUAGUGCACUAUGCUGACUGGGUAUCCACACUGAGUUUGGCAUCAAUAUGGUGACCUCCCGGGAGCAGGAGACCACCAGGGUGCCUAAGGAGGGGUGAACCGGCCCAGGUCAGAAAUGGAGCAUGUCAAAACUCCAGUGCUGAUCAGUAGUGGGAUUGCACCUGUGAAUAGCCACCGCACUCCAGCCUGGGCAACAUAGUAGGACCCCGUCUCUU
ensembl:misc_RNA Metazoa_SRP Metazoan signal recognition particle RNA